UACGGGGGGGGCAAGCGUUGUUCGGAAUUACUGGGCGUAAGGGGCUCGUAGGCGGCCAACUAAGUCGGACGUGAAAUCCCCAGGCUCAACCUGGGAACUGCGUCUGAUACUGGAUGGCUUGAAUCCGGGAGAGGGAUGCAGAAUUCCAGGUGUAGCGGUGAAAUGCGUAGAUAUCUGGAGGAAUACCGGUGGCGAAGGCGGCAUCCUGGACCGGCAUUGACGCUGAGGAGCGAAAGCCAGGGGAGCAAACGGG
rnacentral:rRNA from 1 species